GGAGAGAUGCUCGAGCGGUUUAAGAGGCACGCCUGGAGAGCGUGUAAUCGUCAAAAGCGAUUCGUGGGUUCGAAUCCCACUCUCUCCG
rnacentral:tRNA from 2 species